GGCGAACGCUGGCGGCAGGCCUAACACAUGCAAGUCGAACGAAGUCUUCGGACUUAGUGGCGGACGGGUGAGUAACACGUGGGAACGUACCUUUUGGUUCGGAACAACUCAGGGAAACUUGAGCUAAUACCGGAUGAGCCCUUAGGGGGAAAGAUUUAUCGCCGAAAGAGCGGCCCGCGUUAGAUUAGCUAGUUGGUGAGGUAAAGGCUCACCAAGGCUACGAUCUAUAGCUGGUCUGAGAGGAUGAUCAGCCACACUGGGACUGAGACACGGCCCAGACUCCUACGGGAGGCAGCAGUGGGGAAUCUUGCGCAAUGGGCGAAAGCCUGACGGAGCGAUACCGCGUGAAGGAUGAAGCCGGUUUCCGGCGUAAACUUCUGUUCUGAGGGACGAAAUUUUUGACGGUACCUCAGGAGAAAGCAUCGGCUAAUUCUGUGCCAGCAGCCGCCGUAAUAC
rnacentral:rRNA from 1 species